CCUACGGGUGUCAGCAGUGGGGAAUAUUGGACAAUGGGCGAAAGCCUGAUCCAGCCAUGCCGCGUGUGUGAAGAAGGCCUUCGGGUUGUAAAGCACUUUCAGUGGGGAAGAAAGCCUUGGGGCUAAUACCCUCGAGGAAGGACAUCACCCACAGAAGAAGCACCGGCUAACUCCGUGCCAGCAGCCGCGGUAAUACGGAGGGUGCGAGCGUUAAUCGGAAUUACUGGGCGUAAAGCGCGCGUAGGCGGUCUGAUAAGCCGGUUGUGAAAGCCCCGGGCUCAACCUGGGAACGGCAUCCGGAACUGUCAGGCUAGAGUGCAGGAGAGGAAGGUAGAAUUCCCGGUGUAGCGGUGAAAUGCGUAGAGAUCGGGAGGAAUACCAGUGGCGAAGGCGGCCUUCUGGACUGACACUGACGCUGAGGUGCGAAAGCGUGGGUAGCAAACAGGAUUAGAUACCCCUGUAGUC
rnacentral:rRNA from 1 species